rnacentral:lncRNA from 1 species
UGUACAAAAUUGGUGCAUUUUAUGGGCCCAUUAAAUGGAAACACAACUGGUUGUACUCUUCUGCCACUUGGCACAGAUCAGGAAGGGGGAGGAGGGCACGGCCUCACGUCCAGGCAGGAGGCCGGCUAUAUGGAACAGUGUGGGAUUCCCCGGCAGGACACGGGCCUCUGAAAAGCUUGGGCUCCGAUUCUGCGGGAGGACUUCACGGGCGGGCUGUGUCUCCUGCACCGCGUAGUGAUGCUUCUCAGAGCGCCGCUUCUCAAAUGCGUCUGCUGGUGGCACUCUAAUGGCAGAGGAGGACAAAGCCAUCCCCAAAGGGCCUGGGAAGUGUUCAAAGGGACCAUGACCAGCGCCUGUCCUAUUUGAGGUCUUGUAUCACGUGAAUUUUGCAUCUGUCUUUAUUUCCACAGAAAAAUCGGGCUUUCAGUUCUUCAUUGGCUGGAGCCAGUCUGUAGGCCCGGGGGUGGGUCAGGACUCUUCCGUGCAGACAGGAACUGGAAGCCUGGACCGGGGUCAAGCACGGGAGCACUCUCGCCGGCCAGGACCGGACCUGAGCAAGGCUGUGUUGCCCACAGUCGCAGGCUGGUGAGGAGAAGGAGAGUUCCUGUCCAAACACAGAGGACUUUGACAGGAGGUGGGAACAGCAGGCUUUGUGCUGCCUUACCUGGAGGCCCCAUGGGUCAUGUCCUGCCACUCUCCCAGGACAAAUGUCAUCAUAUUUUUUUCCCUCAGCAUCACCAGUUGGCUUCUGACUGGAACUCUGACAGCUAAACAGACACACUUUCUGGUUUACAAGUUGUUAUUCUAUCACUGUAAGUAUUCGUCAACAUUUGUGUUUUAGUCAUAACAUAGCUAAUACAUAAUUUUGUUUGCUUCACAGCAAAUUAAAUAAAGCAUUGGCAGCACAUUAAAUAAAUGGUUAAAUUGCUUAGUUUUCUUUUUUUUUUCUCUCCAAGUCUUCAAGUAAAAUUGAAGCUCCAGACAGAUGCACCAUCUCUGUCCAGGAGCUCCAGACACCCCUCAGGGCUGCCAAUGUGCCCAGAGUUGUGAUAAACUAAGCCAGUACCACCACCGCAAUGAGUUGGCACAGAAGGAACACACAGAUGUUGGCAGUUUAAAUAGUACUGAUCAUGGC